GUUUGAUCAUGGCUCAGAAUCAACGCUGGCGGCGUGCCUAACACAUGCAAGUCGAACGAGAAAGUGGGGGCAACCCCAUGAGUAAAGUGGCAGACGGGUGAGUAACACGUGAACAAUCUACCCUUGAGUGUGGAAUAACACCGCGAAAGCGGUGCUAAUACCGCAUAACAUCUCCGGGUCGCAUGAUUUGGAGAUCAAAAGCGCAAGUUGCUUGAGGAGGAGUUCGCGCCUGAUUAGCUAGUUGGUGAGGUAACGGCCCACCAAGGCAACGAUCAGUAGCCGGCCUGAGAGGGCGAACGGCCACACUGGAACUGCGACACGGUCCAGACUCCUACGGGAGGCAGCAGUGGGGAAUUUUGCGCAAUGGGCGAAAGCCUGACGCAGCAACGCCGCGUGGAGGAUGAAGGCCUUCGGGUCGUAAACUCCUGUCAGUGGGGACGAAUAUCUCGCAAGAGAUUUGACUGUACCCGCUGAGGAAGCCACGGCUAACUCCGUGCCAGCAGCCGCGGUAAUACGGGGGUGGCAAGCGUUGUUCGGAAUUACUGGGCGUAAAGGGCGCGUAGGCGGCUUUGCAAGUCAGAUGUGAAAGCCCCGGGCUUAACUCGGGAACUGCAUCUGAAACUGCUUUGCUUGAGUCCUGGAUGGGAUAGUGGAAUUCCCAGUGUAGCGGUGAAAUGCGUAGAUGUUGGGAGGAACACCUGCGGCGAAGGCGGCUAUCUGGACAGUGACUGACGCUGAGGCGCGAAAGCUAGGGGAGCGAACGGGAUUAGAUACCCCGGUAGUCCACGCUGUAAACGAUGGAUACUAGGUGUAGGCGGUCAUUAACCCCGUCUGUGCCGAAGCCAACGCGUUAAGUAUCCCGCCUGGGGACUACGGCCGC
rnacentral:rRNA from 1 species